UAAUUCUUGCAGAAUAAAGGGGCUAGCUAUUAGCAUAAUCGGGAAUUCGGUGUAAGGCCGAAGCUGUUUCCGCAACUGUAAGUGCAGAUGAAGUAAGAGAAAUGCCACUGUCGAAAGAAGAAAAAUGCUUCUACUAGAUGGGAAGGCGCUUAUGAUUUUGCUACAAAAUUAUUGUAGUAAGCUGCACAAGCCAGGAGACCGACCUUUAUUUGAGCGUAUAA
rnacentral:ncRNA from 1 species